rnacentral:rRNA from 1 species
UGCUGCAUAUCCCAAAAAGCGGAGGAAAAGAAACCAACAGGGAUUGCCUCAGUAGCGGCGAGUGAAGCGGCAAGAGCUCAGAUUUGAAAUCUCACCUAGUGUGCGAGUUGUAAAUUGCAGGUUGGAGUCUCGGGUUAGACGUGUGUGCAAGUCCCUUGGAACAGGGUGCCACUGAGGGUGAGAGCCCCGUAGCGUGCAUGUCGACACCUGUGAGGCCCUUCUGACGAGUCGAGUUGUUUGGGAAUGCAGCUCUAAGUGGGUGGUAAAUUCCAUCUAAGGCUAAAUAUUGGCGAGAGACCGAUAGCGAACAAGUACUGUGAAGGAAAGAUGAAAAGCACUUUGAAAAGAGAGUGAAACAGCACGUGAAAUUGUUGAAAGGGAAGGGUAUUGGGCUCGACAUGGGAUUUACGCAUCGUUGCCUCUCGUGGGCGGCGCUCUGGGUUUUUCCUGGGCCAGCAUCGGUUUUCGUUGCAGGAUAAGGACAAUUGGAAUGUGGCUCCUCGGAGUGUUAUAGCCUUUUGUAGAUGCUGCGUAUGGGGACCGAGGGCUGCGGCGGACUCGUUCUCUCGGAUGGAUUCCAUACGGCCGAG